rnacentral:tRNA from 1 species
GCUCCCGUGGCGGAAUUGGCAUACGCGCAGCGCUUAGGACGCUGUCCUCGUAAGAGGUUAGAGGUUCAAAUCCUCUCGGGAGCA